GGCACACAGGGCAAAUUAAAACAAACAAGCCGACCAUUAACCUGAUAUUACAACCCCUUUCCCCACGCACAGAGGUGGAGACCCAGGCGACGCUGAAGAGUCAAAGGGGCCGAAUGACAGUAGUUCCUGGGGGAGCCAGGGCUAAGCCACGGUGGUGAGUGGCCGAGGUGGAACCAUGGUGCCGGAGGACUGAGGUGCAUCCGAUGGGACCAAGAACCAAGGCAGAGCCCAACAGAGCCAAAGGAGUGAAGGUACAAGGUGCCGCUGAAGGUCUGAAAGUCUGUGGCACAGGCAACUUGACGACUGACCAAGUUGGAGCUAGAGGGACAAAGGAGCCAGAUGGAGUCGUUAGGAUCACAGUCCUAGGUGGAGCCAAGCGGGCAAGGAGCAAAGGUGGAGCUGACUGGUUGACAGGCCGAGGUGGAGUUAUGGCUCUACGGCUAGAGGCAGAGCUAGGGGACCUGUGCACCAAGGGGUAGCUGGCAACCUGAAGACUCAAGCCGGAUCCGGGCAACAGAGUGAGGAGAAGACAAGGGACUGAAUAGAGCCAGCGGAGGCAUAGACAGACAAGGUGGGAGGGACCAGCGGAGAUUAAGGAGAAUCGGACAAGAGAGAACAGGAAAAUCCCUCUUCCGUUUCCUCAUCCAAUUUUCCUGGAACCAAACUUGUGAAGCUCACCCUCAGUGGUGGAAGUACGGGCGAGGCUCCAGUCCAUGCCGUCAAACUCCACAAGGAUGCCCUUCUUGAUGGAUGUUGUUGCCCGGCUCACGCACCUGGUCCGGGCUCUUGGCUCUUGGGGGCAUGGCUAAUGUCUGGUUUGGCUCUGGGUCAGGAGCGGAGCUGGGGUUGGCCUUGUCCAAAAGGCAGAUGGAGGUGACUCACAGGUAACCAGCACCCACUUCUCAGUUUGUUCAUUAAGGUUACACCGGAAAAAAACAAAGGCAGAGUGAUCCGAGAAGUGUGUUAGGCACGCCGAUUCUAAAAAAUCUCUUGUGCGGUCCUCGAGGGAACUAUGCUCCUGCUCCAGGCAAAGAAGGCAGACCGCUGCACAAGGAUCUUUCAUGCAGAUCUGCAGAGCGACAGGAUCAACACAAGCUUUAGCGGAAAGCAGGCACACGAGAGGCUUGAUCUGAUCCCAGAGAAGGAGGUCUGCUGGCGGUGCACAAAUCCUGCCUGCAGGUGUGAUCUUGUUUUUCUUACGCAGCUGAGAUUUUCUUUUCCUGUCUCCUCAAG